rnacentral:rRNA from 1 species
AGCAGCCGCGGUAAUUCCAGCUCCAAUAGCGUAUAUUAAAGUUGCUGCAAGUUAAAAAGCUCGUAGUUGAAUUUCGGGACCAUCAUGUCGGUCGUGCCUCGGUACGUACUGGCAUUGUUGGUUUCUCCCUUCUGACGAACCAUGAUGUCAUUAAUUUGGUGUCAUGGGGAAUCAGGACUAGUUACUUUGAAAAAUUAGAGUGUUUAAAGCAGGCUCACGCUUGAAUACAUUAGCAUGGAAUAAUGAAAUAGGACGUUUGAUUCUAUUUUGUUGGUUUCUAGGAUCGACGUAAUGAUUAAUAGGGAUAUUGGGGGCAUUAGUAUUCAAUUGUCAGAGGUGAAAUUCUUGGAUUUAUUGAAGACUAACUACUGCGAAAGCAUUUGCCUAAGGAUGUUUUCAUUAAUCAAGAACGAAAGUUAGGGGAUCGAAGACGAUCAGAUACCGUCGUAG